AAUGAACGCUGGCGGCAUGCCUAACACAUGCAAGUCGAACGAAAAGACGAAGAGCUUUCCCCCUUGACUUAAGCGGGGGGCGGGGGAGUGAAACGUGGAUAACACACCUAUAAGACUGGGAUAAAUUCGUGAAACCGGUAGCUAUACCGGAAAAUAUAUUCAACAGCAAGGAUCAGUAGUUAAAGACGGCUUUCCUUCCAAUUUUAGCUGAUUCCGUGCCGCAUUAGCUAGUUGGUAAGGUAACGGCUUACUAAGGCAACGAUGCCUAGCCGGCCUGAGAGGAUGAUCAGCCACACUGGAACUGAGACACGGUCCAGACUCCUACGGGAGGCAGCAGUGGGGAAUAUUGCACAAUGGGCGAAAGCCUGAUGGAGCAAUGCCGCGUGAGUGAAGAAGGUCUUCGGGUUGUAAAGCUCUUUUAUUGGGGAAGAAGAGAAGUAUGAGAAUCUCUGCACGUAUUGACGUUACCUAAAGAAGAAGCACCGGCUAACUCCGUG
rnacentral:rRNA from 1 species